rnacentral:lncRNA from 1 species
CUUUUUUCAAAAUAGAAGAUGAAAGAGAGAAGUUUAUCAGAAUGGUUUUUAAGAAAGCUAUCCCUAGAGGCAGAGGGUUUAAUUGAGGAAGUAAGAUUUUAUCUACAGGAUCUGUGAUCUUGUGGAAGGUUGGUUUGUGAUGGAAACAAAGAUGAAGCAGAGUAGUAUCUCGAGGAAUCAACACAUUGCAGAAGGAUGAUGGGACCAAGAGCAAUGAGGCCGGGAGAGAGACGAGAGUGUUCAUCCUGAGAGUGCUUGGGCGUUUAUGAAGACAGGGACAGAAAAAAGGAGACAGUUUUACAUACAGAUUUAUAAAGUGUCAUUUGAGGUAUGCGAAAUAUUACAAAGGGGAUUGAAUUCUAAUCCUGCCUCUGCCAUACUAUUUUGUAAAACUGGGAAAAAAAAUAAAUCCUCUGAGCCUCAGACUCCUCAGCUGUACAAGAGAAAAAUGAUAUCUACCUUGAGGAUUGAGCCUAACACACAGAGAGGCUUCUGUGAGGCUGUCCCUUCCCCGGCUGUCUGGGGAAAGUCCUCAGAAUGCAGCAAACACACACAGGGAGGUGCUCUGUGGACUUCUGAAUGCCUCCAAUGGCUGAAGACAGUAGGUCAUUCAGAACAACGCUAAUGGCAAAACUGCCGGAAAUGGGCCACACGUCCUAACUCAAAUGAUCCUUUCUUUUUAAAAAGUGGUGAAAAAUGACUGUGUGAGACCCCAAUCCUGCUCUAACGUACGAAUAGGAUUUGCAUUCAUAGUCUGUAGACUACAGUCUGAAACAAGUCUAAUCUGAAACAGCUGUGUUGUAGAACAGUAAAACUGAUGGCCAGUGGAAGCAAUUCCAGAGGGCCACAAGAUGGCAGCCUCUUCAUGCUUAUCUCUUGUGUGGUUGCCCUGCAUCUUCUGGGUUUGAUUUUAGGGGCAAGAACCUCAGGCGAGAGGGGAGGACUGGGGGUAGGGAUUCAAUCAAGAGUCGUAUAUAAAUGAAGAACAAUUUAUUUUCCUUUUUAAGUUUAGACAUACAUGCAUACAUACCUACCUACCUGCCUGUAUACAGACAUACAUUUUAUGUAUAUGUAUACAUAUAUAUAUAUAUUUAUAGUUAAUUUAUAUUAUUUUGUUUGUCCUCAGGAAGAUACUGAAAGCACAAGUGUAUUUGCAGAGCUCUGCCCCAAAGUGCCCUCUGGGCUGACUGCUGGCCCAGUGUGAGCCUGGAACGGAACAGAGACAGUCUUCCCGGUGGUGGCAGAGGUCCUGCCUCCCCUGCAUGGAAGAAUUCCUUCUUGUUCUUUUUUUUCUUUAGUCUUCUACGUGGUUGAAAAUUCACUUUAUCUUUUAUUGACUUUAAAUUCUCAUUUUAAUUCCAUUUUCUCCUUUUACUAUGCAUUUUUAACUGCGUAAUUUAUCUUACCACAAUUUUAGAAAAGGCAAAAUAACUUCAUUCAGUAAAGUAAGCGUGUUUGAAGUUCCUUUGCAAAAUCACUUUACACGCCAUGUAUACUAAACAAGGAAAAAUUUUAAAAUACGAAAAAAUUGAAAAAGAAUAACGUAAGACAAUAUAACAUUAUUACCUCUCAAACAUAAACCCUGUUAACCGUUUUAUAACAUUCCUCGUCUAUAUAGAUAGAAUUAUUUUUCAAAGUAGGAUUUUACUAUAUAUAGAUGCUUUUGUAGAUUUUUAAAAUAUUUAACAGCGUAUUAUAUACAUUUUUAUGUGUCAAAAAUGUGCUUCCACGUCAUAAAUUUUAAUGGUUAUACAGUAUUCAUUGUGUUAAUAUGUAUAGUAUGUUUAAUUAAGCCUUUACAAAAACAUGUUUUUGAAAAUACUGUAAUUCUACAGAAUAGUUAAGUAAGAAAGGAGAGAAAAGGAGAAUAUGAGCAAAGGAAGAGGAGAUGCCAAAUAGAAAAGUGGAAACACUGAACAAAGAGAUGCCAAGAAAGGCAAGAAGAGCACAGAGGAGAAGGAGUGCGUGCCAGGCAGAACGAGGUGAAGGAGGAGAAGGGGGCAGAGGUGAUGCCCAGGCCACCCCGGCUGGGGGCGGGCUGCUCAUUGGCGUGAGAGGUUUCAGACUGUCGGCCUGUAUUUUUGCUCCUUUGAAAUAGUCCAUUGCUGACAGACAGGGCUCUGUCGUUGUCCCUUCUCUUAAAGGCCGGUAGAUUCUCCCCAAAGAACAUGGAAGAGCAAUGAGAAGGGCAGAUUUUAACAGUUGACAUUAUCCUCUGCUUGUGGAACAGAGGAAGGUUAACCUAUGAUUUGGAAUUCAGCAGAAGGCCAAAUCUUCAGAGGGAAAAAAGACACAAAAACAUAUUUCUACUUCUAGUUCAACAAUAAGAUUGCGGAAAGAACACUCACCUCUGACAUGAUAAUUUAUGUGAAAUGAUGCCCAUGAAAUAGAAUCCUAUCGUAUUUAGAGUGAAAAGAUAUGUGCAGAUAAAAGGCACAUAUGCACACACAUCUUAGUAAAUGCACAUGAAGAGAUGAAUAAGGGUACAGACUGAUUUGGGACUGGCUGUAAAAGGGGAGAUCUAGGGCAUAGUAAAAAAAUAAUUUGACUUUUUACUUGAUAUUUUUAUAGCUUUAGGAUUUUUAUAGGGAGCCAUGUAUUGUUUUUCUAAAUAAAAAUAAAUGGAUAAAAAGAGAAAAUCUCACUGAGCACAGCUUAUCCAUGCACAGAAGGGAAGGGGGACAGUUCUGCAAAAUGCACAGGUCACAGCUGACAGGGACAGCCCUCCGGUCUCCCUCCGUUGAGCACCUUCUCCAGCAUCCUCAAAAGGCCUUCUUCUCACCUGGUGCCAUGUGACUCUCGCGUCAUGUGUUGCAUUUUAAGACUCUCUUGAAGAAAAUUCUUUGUGAGGCUUGGAUCUGGACCUCUUUAUCUUCAAAUAGUUGCAGAUGGUGGAGUGAGGUUUCAUGAAGAAAUAGCGUGGAUAGCAGACCUGAGUCAUUUACACAUGAGUGGCUUCAGAGGGAACAGAGAUUUUAAAAUGAAGACCUUUUUUGGGAGUAAAAUAAUAGGAGGAGAAGGUAAAGCUAAGGGAAAUGUCAAGUUCCUCGUGUUCCAAAAAUGAAGGUGGAAGAAUGGGGAUUGACCCACUAUAACCAUUCCCCCAAAUCUUACAUCAUGGGCUCCUAGGAAUCUACACAGAUUAUAAUAGGGGUCUGCAAGCCAUUUUCAAUAUUUCUUCAAAUCUAAUAGUAAUCAUACAUUUUACCAAAUAAGGCUGCUUAACUUAGCUAAAUAUCAAGAGUUUUCCCUUGUCUGGAAGCAUCUCAGCUCACUUGGAUAAAGCAUGCUAUUUUCUGACAUAGACCUUCUUAUGUUUUUAAUAACAAUGGGAAAAUAAUUAACCAUACUUAAUAAAUCGAUCCUUUCCCCUACUUUCAACAUUGAGUCUCAUCUAUUUCUUGAAUUCUACCCGUUGUUUCAUGUUCCAGUUUCUAUCCCUUCCAUGUCCCACCUAGAAACCCAUCACAUUAAUUAUAUAUCAGGACCCUCCUCUGUACCUGACACUUCUGAGCAGCUGGUAAUUCCUACCUAGAAUUUCAAGCUUCUCUUCCUUGACUCCUGCAGAAGUAGAAUAGAAUCUACUUCUUCUUGAUUAGAAUGUUCUCUUUCCUGCAAUCAGCAGAAUCUUUGCUCAGGACCCUUGGCAAGUAUCUAGUGGAUGGGUGAUUUUCCAGCAGCAGCCACCAGAGACACCUAGGCUCCUGAUCUAGAAAAAUUAAAUUAAAUUAAAAACCCAGAUUAUUGGUUAUCCCAUUUGGGAACUUGGUAAGAUUAAAGUUAAAAAGCUAAGGAAAGCUUUUAAUAAAAAUUGUGGGGGCUUAUCUUAAACAUGAAUAUUUUGAAUGCAGUCUCAUCUUUAGGUUCUAAAGUAACAGGAAGAUAUCCCUUCUUCUUACAUAGUCAGUUUCUCUCUCCAUGAGAGUUUUCAAAGAAUAACGUAGCAAUUGACCACUUUGGGGGCAACUAAAUUAUUUUAGAGACUCUUGCAGAGAGUCAAGAUGAAAGCUAAUUCUUGAUCUCUAGCAGUUUACAAGCGUUACAAGCAGGUCUGUAAAAUACAACAUAAAGUUGACUAAAAUACGUGCAAAGUUCUAUGGAAGUACACAGGUAAAAUGACUUUAUGUUUUUUAGAGAAACAUUUUAGCUGGUCCCCAGAGACUUAGAUUUUUUUUUUAAGAAUAGAAAGAAAGAGAAUUCCAGCUGCAGGGAACAGCAUGGGCAAAGGCUUGGAGGCAUGAAAAAUGCCUGAUAAAAUGGACAAUGACAAGUACAGUGUUAUUGCUAGACUUAAAAGUGGAGGGGACCAUAAUGGGAAGAAAGUCUGAAAAGAAUUUCAAGGCCAGACCAUACAGUGCCCUGAAUCCCAGGCCAUGGAGAUUCAUUUCUUUCUACAUUCAGUGAGGAGCUAUUGAUGGAAUUGGAGCAAGAAGUAUUUUCAGAACUGUGCCUUAGAAAGAUCGAUCUGGCAGCAAUAGUAAGAUAGAUUGGAGGCCAGGAAACCAAUUAUAGGAUUAAAAUAAUACCAAUGGCAGAUGUUUAAGACCUAAAAUAGUACAUUAUGAAAAGAAAGGGACCGUACUCUGCCCACGAAAACAUCUGUAGUUUGAGAAGGGUGGCACUGAGAUUUUCCUGUGGUUGUCAACUCCAUCCCUGUCAUGGCCCAAAGGGAAGAUCUAAAGUAAAUAUUUCUCUUUAAAAAAGAGCUUCAUAUCAACAAAUAUAAAGAAAAAAUGUCUUGGUGUGCUUAAGAUCAUCAACAGCGACUCUCAAAGAGACAAAGUCCUGGCAAGUGAGGCCUGAUGCUCCCAUUUCCAAAUGCUGGUUUAUCCUUUAAAUUGUACCUACAAUACAGUCAAAGAAAGGGAAUAGGAGAAUUUACUGCCUCUGUAGAGAAAAUGUCAUCCAUUUGCCUCUUCAUAGGAGGGUGAGUUUCACAAGAUUACCCUGGGAAAUUAAUUUUGAAAUAAACAAUUUAAAAUCCAAUCAUGACAAUUUAGGCCACAGAAAUUAGAAACUUCAAACCAGAGAAUGUGAGGACUUACAGGACAAUUAUACGUUGCCUACUCUGAAGUUUCCUAUCUUUUCCUCUUUUAUUUAUUUUUUUCACUGAGUUGAGAGCUUCACUCUUGAUCAUGACCAAGAUGACCAUGUUUUGUUACCAAUGUCUGGUCCACGGAUCACAUCCCAGAAAACCCUCAAAGUUAUCAAUUGCCAGGUAUCAUUUUUCAUCACCUUUAACUAACCAGCAUGAGCUCAAUGUAUUAAUGAAUUCCAAACAAAAUCAAACUCAAUAGUGAUUACUUUCAUGGCCUUAUGAUUUCCAUUGAACUUUCAGAGAUAUUAAAAACAAUUUAACAAUUCUUGUCACUACCUCUUGUUCCUAAAUCCUUAAGGAUCCCAGGGACCUCAGACGAGGAACAGCAGUUCUAACCUUAUCUCAGAUGAAAAUGAGGCACGGAGAAGGGAAGUGCUUUCCAGGGACAUGUAAGCAUUCUCUGCAUCCUAUAACUCAAUCUUAAGUAGCUUUUCAGGCCAAGGAAAAGAGACGGAUCUUGUGAUCUGUCUCAGAGAUUCCUUGCGUCCCCAGACUGUGAGGCUGAUUUCCAUGCUGUUUGGCUCCUGACUUAUAGGUUGAAGGCCAAAGGCUGCCCCUUGAGCCCUGCUCUUGUCUGUAGGUUUUUCCCAAAAAGUGUUUAAUUGUACCAAAAACGCAGCUGUCUUUGAUCCCACAACUUGCUUAGCUCAUUUCCCCAGGUUGCUUUAACAUUGCCAUUUGGACACAUUACUGCUCUCUUUGGAUCACUUUCAGGUAAGCAUGACAAGGAAAAUUUAAAAAUAAAAUAAAAUAAAAUAAAAAGAUGAGGAAGAAAAAAAACAGAAACAGAAACAAUGAAAAGAAGCAAGACAGGGUUGAUUUUCCUGGAGGGAAAACAUAGUUGCCUGGUGAUUUCGCCUUAGUUCUGGGAAAGAGCCCUGGCGGUGUCGCAGCCCCUGCUCUGCUGUUCCUCUGCUUCCCUUGUUUCUCCUUUACUCCUGCUCUCUUGUCUCAUGCUGAGGGGUGGGACCCGAGGCAUUUCAGGCACCAGGUUUCUGUUGAAAGACUCCUGUCCGUGCAAAGGAGGAAUACAAUCAGAUUGUUUGAUUCUUAACUUAUGAAUUUGAUUGAAGAGAUGCUAAAAAUUAAUGAUUAGAAAAAAAUUUGCAAUGAUUAGGGAUCAUGUCGAUGAGUAGAUAGAUGAGGAUGUAUUAUUUAUAUCAGCAGUGUUUUCCAAUGCGCAAAAUGUUGUGUGCUUGUAGAAAAAAGACUCAGAACCCCCUGUCUGGUCUCACAUCAUAUGAUCCAGCGUCUUUUAGAAUUCCAUUCCAAAUCUUUAUUGAAUGUAUUUCUUAAUGCCUUCCAUGACAGUAAAUAUUGGCCUGCUUUGACUUUGAGAAAGAGCUUUCUUACAAUCAGCAGAAUUUGGUCUCCCUGUGGGAUGGCCCUUUUGUCCUAAUCCUACCCCUUUUAAUCAUACAGAAUAAGUUAACGCCUUUCUGCUCUGAUGGAUCUUUCUGAAAUUUCAGAGAUGCUAUCACAGCUCCUCUAAGUUCUCUCUUCUCCAGAAAAAAUUUUCCUAGUUUCUGAAAUUGUUUGUCAUAAGCCUUGCCUCUAGAUGCAUUCCAUGUGUCAGUCCCUCUGUUUUUCAAGUCUCCCAGGAUUAGACACAACUCCUUUUUGAAAUUAAUACAAGCAAUAUAUGUGUAUUGAAAAAAAUUGGAAAAUACAGAAUGGCAAAAAGUAGCUUUAAAUUACUUAUGAAGAAUUUCUAUACAAAAAGGGCUGCUUUUGAUAUUUUGGCAUUUAACCUUCCAAAAUUAUUUCCAUGCAAACAUAUACUGUUAAAUUUUAGCAGGAUAGUGGGGUGAGGCUGAACUUAAAAAGCGAUGCUAUCUAUGUCUAUCUCUGAAAAUAGGGACACAAAAAAUCACUUUGGAGUAGAUACUUUUCCAGGAUGUGUCACUUAACUGAUUCCUCAUAGUUACGUAAAUUUAAGCCUACUUCUCACUCAAUUCUCUAAAGCAGAAGUCAACAAAUGGUUACUCCCUGUAAGUACCAGGGAGUCAAUGGAGUAGGGGUUGAAGGCUUUGUGGGCCUUGUGGGGUCUCUCUUGCUGUUGCUUCUCUUCUCCUUCCUCCUCCUGCUCCCUCCCCUCCACCUCCUCCUCCUCCUCCUUCUCUCUUGUUCAUUUACAAACUCAAAAAAAUGUUCAAACCACUCUUAGCUUACAGACCAUACGGAAACAGGUCACUGACCAGAAUUUGCCAGGAAGCUAUAGAUUGCCCAUCCAUUGUCCAGCUUCCCAAUUUCUCCCAAAGACUGCCCCCUCACUACUCUCUCAUAUAUAGAGCUGCGUCCUUGGGAAGAUUUGGUAAAUUUGCAUAGCGAUCAAAGAAUUUCCUGGGAAGAAGGGAAUAGAGACCUCAAACACCACCUCUUUGAGAUAAAAUUUUAUUGGAAUCUUUCUGAUAGGUUGGGAUGUUCCCAGCUGAAGAGUGAUAGCUGGAAAGCCCAAGAGCUCCAAAUCCAAGCUGAGCUAGCUAUGAGAGAUUAGCCAUCUAGAUUAUUGGCCUGGACCCUUAAAUAUUUGGGGAAGAGAACAUUAGUUAGUCAUGGUUCAUGACUAACUAAUCUAGUUUAAAAAAAGCUUAUGCUUUGGAAUUAAUGACUAAGGAGAUGAGUUCAUAUUCUUGGAGAACUAUAAUCCUCAAAGGAACUCAAAUAGGGAGCUCUCCGUUUUAGUCAUAGAUUAUGUUGAAGUAAAAAUAACUCCAAGUCUCUGCGGUUUAACAAGAUAAGGGCUUAUGCGUCACUUCCAGUUUGAUGGACAACUCUCCCAGACAGCUUUCAUAUACAGCUCUCCUCCCACAUGAUCACUGGGAUCUGGGCUGCUUCCAUUUUGUGAUGUCAUCAUCUGUAAUGCAUAAUCCCGUUUGCCAUGGAGCGGAAGAAAUAGCACGAGCAAUCAUUCAGGGUACUAUGUUCGGGCCUGAAAUUGGCCUAUAUUACUUCCUUUUACAUGCACUGGUCAGAAUCUAUUCAUAGGGCCCCAACUUAACUUCCAAAAAGACUAGGGAAUAUAGUUGUCCUAUGUGCCCAGGAAAAAAAAUAUUGUUUAAUAUCUAGCCAAUUUUGGCCAUAUUAGCUUUACCAACGUGUGGGUGUGGGAUGGGUUCGGAGUGGCACAUGAGACCUUUGCAAAGAUGUGGAACAGCAAGAGUGCAAUCACAGCAGUGAUAAGUAUGUGCCAUAACUUUUAGUUCUUUAAUUCUUUUUUUGCCUGGUGUUUGGAAGCCAGGUGUAAUUGGGCCCUUUGAACUGAGAGUUUUCAGAUACUAGAAGAUAGAGAGCAAGAGAAACAAAACAUCCUACCAAACUACAGCAACGAAGCCUUGAGUAGUUUAUUCAAAAAUGCUAUAUUUGUGACCUUAUAUAUGCCCUGAGCUGGUGAAGUGGGCUCUACUCAUUACAAAUAUAUGUAUAUGUGCGUGUGUGUGUCUUCAUAAACAUACUAGAAUAAUCUAUCUUCAUCUCAAAAAUAUGUUACGGCCAGUUUUCCUAGUGUAGUCAGGUUAGAAUAUAUCUAUCACUUUUCUCAUGUUUGAUUCCUUGGCUAUCAGUAUAGCUUAAGUUUGAUGAGCAUUUGGUGGCUAAUUUAUGCAAUUCGAACCCAAUGGUGUCUAAAAUCCUGAAUCUCUUUCUCACAUGCACACUAUAUCUCUGCUAUUUUGUGCUUGAACAGUUUGCCUUUGGUGGUUAACAUUUGUUGUUUUACAGCACCCAGAACCUAUUUUUCCUUCCUAUUGAUAACAAUAACAAAUUUCAUUUGGAAAAUUACAUCUUCACGUGACUCAGGGUGAGCGGAGAGCAUAAUUAAAAUGCUAUUCGCUUCCUUAGCCUAGAAAUGGGCAUAUAAUGGAGCGCUUAGAUUCUGUGUGCCCAGGAUAGUUACUCUCAUACAAAGUGAAGUCAGAUUGAGAAUAAAAAUAGUCACACAUUUUCAUUCCAGGAGGGGCUGUUCAUGAGAAUCAGAGAUGUUCUUGUUAUCUAAAUAACAAGACUGAACUUAUUCCUAUCAUUUUUGAGGUAAGUUCUCCAGAUUUCUCAUAAUUUCUAGGAGCUACCUGAUAUCAUUCCAAUAAAUUAUUUUUUUUAUUGAGAAUAGCCAGGUUGCAUUCUGUGACUUGCAAUCCAAGAAUACAUAAAUGAAACACUCGAGUAGAGGACUUAUAUUCUUUUUCAAUUAAAACUUUUUUUUUUUAUUUGUGGCCUAUUGAUCCACACUAUCUAGAUGAUUUUUUUAAUCUUUUUUCUGUCUAAUAACUAUUCCCUAACCGAUUCUGUUUCAUUGGAUCUGCAGACAUGGUGAAUAUGUCCUUAAUAUUGUCAUCGAAUGUCUAAUAAAUAUAUCGCUAUCUGUAAGGAGCACCUUUUCCCUCUCCUCUAAUUUUUAAAGACAUUUUGGUAACUUCAUAUGUGCAAAUAUUUUAUAUGAAAUUUUUUAAAAAUUAACUUUUCUGUAUGCAUACUCAUCCCUUGGUGUCUUUUUCUCACCCUUCUUAGUGGAUCUCUAAAAAUUUAGAAUGUUUAUGUAGCCCAAUGUGGAAAAGAAAGGGUACAAUUGACCCAAAGUGUCAGUAACGAAAUUAGAGUAAGUUUCUCUUAGUUAUCUAUUUCUGCAUAGCAAAUAACCUACAAACCUAAUGACUUAGAGGAAGAAUAAAUGUUUAUUAUUUAUCCUGUAGUCUACGGGUCGGGAAGUUGGGAGCGGCUGGCUGAGCAGUCUGGCUCAAGGUCUCUCAUGAAGUUGUAACCAUCUAAUGGCCACAACUGCAGUUACCUGAAGGCGUGACUGAAGCUGGAGGAGCCACUUCCAAGGUGACUCACUCAUGUGGCUUGCAAGCUCAUGUUGGUGGUUGGUUGGAGGUCUCAGUUCCUCUCUGAUUGGCCUCUCCACAGGGCUACCUGAGUGACCUCAUGGCAUGGCCACCAACUUCUCCAAGAGCAAUUGGUCAAAGAGAGAAAAGAGGAAGCUUCAAUGCCUUGUAUGACCUAGUCUUGUAAGACACAUACUUUUACUGCCACCAUAAUUUAUUGGUCACACAGACCAGUGCUGAUUCAUUGUGGGAGAAGAUUACACAAGGGCAUAAAUACCAGGAGGCAGAGAUCACGGGGGACAUUUUGGAGGCUGACUACUGCCGUCAGUGACUGAAUGUGGUCAGUAUUUAACACUGCAAUUCCUUUAACCACCUCGCCAGCCAAUGGGCCAUGUAGACUACACACUGUAAUAGCGUUGCUAUGUGUGGGAGGAAAGCACACGCCAUCCACUCAAGGAGUUUUUCAAACUACAUGUGACAUUCCUCCUCAUUUGCCAAGAUUCUGAUGUGCCUUCUGUUAGUACACACUCCAAGGUUUUAGAAUUACCAUUCUAUUGAAACAGCAUUAAUUAAAAGAUACAAGUGGCUAAAUUCCUUACAUCUGUGUAGAAAAACUUAAGUCCCUGAAAGUAAUCCCUCAACCCUCUCACUUUUCAUAGACUCAGACCUGAGCUACUCACCCUGACUCACUCCAUACACCCAUCACAAGCUGUUUCCAACCCCACUCAACCUCAAUAUGGCACUUUGGUGUUGUUUUCUUGACUAUGACAUUGGCCCCAUCCCUGCCUAGAUGUCAGUUUAUCCCCCUGCUUCAUCACAUCCUCAAGAACCCAUGUGUGACUCCUGCAGAGAGCAGUUCCUGGCCAAAAACCAGAGAACUCUUUCUGUGGUUGACCUUGUGAGCUAUGGCGGCCAAGCAGUGAUGCUUCUGUGCCCUGGGGAAAUCGUGUGGUACUGAGUCAGGAAAACGUAUACCCUUCUGGUCUUCUGGGAAGAACACACGGAAGUGCGGGUACAGUGAGGAGGAUGGGGGCACAGUGUUCUUUGGUGCCUUGAUGGAUGGCAGUUUCAGGAGUGCUGGGAAGCCAUGUAGACAGCAGAGAUUUCACGGAAAUGGUCAGAGGUAGAAAAUGCAGGGAAGUCCCGUCCAGGACCUACAGGAACAGGGGAUUCACCACACGAGAGGAAGGAAUAGGAGAAGCUUCUUACUGACUAUAAAUGGCAUACUUGCUCAUAAGUACAUGUGAGAAAUCCCCUGCAGACCCCUUGAAAUAGUUGGGAGCCAAUUUGAGGGAAUCUGGAAGUCCUGUGUGAGCAGGUCAAAGCAAGAAUCAGUAAACUCAAUUUUCUGUUUUCAGGCUCUCCUUUGUUCCCACAAGCUGACCCAUUCUGGUAGAUCCUAGAAUUCAGUGUGCAGUUUGUCAGUUUUGAUGAAGAGAUCGUGUGUUAGCAGGUGACUGGCUCUCGUUCCUGAAUGGAAUCUGACAAGAGAAGCAAUCAUGGCAUUACAUCCUCUUGGAAUAUAGCUUUACAGAUUGCAAAUUCCUUUUACACAUACUACCUCAGCUGAGCUGCACAGAAACCUGUGAACAAGGGGCUAUUGAUACACUCACUAUAGAGACAUCAAAAAUGAAAACCCUAGCUGUUGAAAGAUUUGUUGAAGGGUGUGCAGUUGGUAAGCAGUAGGCUUGCAAUUGCAGCACAGAUUUGUGACACUGAGUCCUACGCUCUUUCUGUUACAACAGUGUUUUCAAGCUGUGUUCUGUUGAGCCCUAAAAUCUCACAAAUCUGUCUAAAGAGAAAUGUGGGGGAGCAAAAGAGAGGCAGAACAGGUGGGCUCUCUCCCACCACUUCACCAGAGAAGUUAUGACUUUAUCGCUUAUGUAUUUUGGGCUUUCCUAACAUAUUGACUUGAAAUAAAAGGUUUAUGGCUAGCAUAAAAUUUAAAAACCCCUGCACCAACACACACCGUCUUGUGAUGCAAUGGAUGGGAUUUUAGAUUGGUUAGCAAGAGAGUAACUCAGGCCUGUCCAAAGCACAAGGCAGAGUUUGAUUUUCAGAAGUGGAAUUUGAGCUUGACUACAUGCAAACAUAAUUUGAUAAAAAUAAUUUGAUAAAAGACAAGAGUUAAAUCUGGGAAAUGUUUUUCAUUUAAAAUACACUCAUUAUGUUCUUACUGUGUUUCAAGUGUUGUGUCCGCGCUUUAAUUCCUCCUGCUACAGAUAAGAUUAGUCGUAAAUCUAGUGCACGGUACAAAUAUAGCUGGAAGUCAAGCCGUUCUACGUGUGAUGAGCAGGGCUGUCUGAAGGGAUGUUCUACAACGAGGGAAAUGUUCAUAUUUGCGCUAUCUAAUAGGGUAGCCACUAGCUGCAUGUGGCUAAGGAGCACUUGCAAUGUAGCUAGUGUAACUGGUGAACUGCCUUUUUAAUUUUAUUUCAUUUGAAUUUAAAUAGGCACGUGUGGCUGCUGGCUACAGUGCUCAACAGCGCAGCCAAGAAGCCUCAAAGACAAAUAAGCCUAAUGGUGCCUAAAGACAGCACCAUCAUCGCCACCACCAUUAUCAUCACUUCUGUCCUCACAGUCAUGACCACCACCACCACCACCAUCAGCAGCAGCAGCAUCAUUCUGAUCACUGCCACACGAGCUCUGCCAACCGUCGCUGGAUUGCUGCAGCAACUUAAGUGAUCUGUCUGCUUUCAUUCAUGCUUCCCUCCAAUCUGUUAUAACCAGAGUGACCCUGAGAAAGGCACAUGUGAUCUUACCACUGCUCAGCUUAAAAUCCUGCGUAGAGUAAGAUGUUGAAAGUGGGGAUUAUCUGUGGAGACUUCAAGGAUGCUUUGAUUGGAAACACCAGUUUAAUUGGAAGAGGGUUAUGGUUCAGCAUGAUGAAACAAAGAACAACAGAACCAAAUCAAAUUGGAAGAACGGCCAUCAGAACAGUAAGUCUAGAGAUUGUUCUCUGAGCUGGAUGAAAGUGAAAAAUGAGAAACAGAAGAAAACAAAAUUGUUCAUUUGAGACUAUGACACUUAGUAACAGAAAUGAAAGACCCAGUUUUCUAGGGAAAGGCCUACCUCCUGCAUGGAUGGAACAAGAGACCACUCACAGAAUGGGAUUUGAAGGUAAAUAAAGCAAAGCUUUCAAUCACUCUCACCAACUUGCGUGCCUCAUCCCCUCGGACAUUCUCUGUCAGAGUCACUCCAUUGACUAGAAAGAGUCUUGUUAAAAUACUGGACUUACGCUGUAUGCGAUCAAUCUAUAUAAAGAUAACAUGCCGACAUUUGUCUGAUACCACCCUUAGUAAACACCUGUUACUUUUGCCUGCCACAAUCCUCUCCCUUCUUUUGGUCACAGGACAUGAAAUUUCCUUGGGGACACUAUGCCUCUUCCAUUUUCAAUCCAUGUAGUUAAAGUAGGACUGACUCACCUUCUGCUUCUAAAGGAAAGCGUUUGGUCCACAUCUGUCAAUUACUAUUGGGAAUUCUUAGAGAAUCUAGCCCUCUGAGUGGUGAAGAUAUGGGCAUACGACCACCCAAGCUGGGUCAAUGAGAGUACUACCCAGGACUUCACUACAUCAACUGGGAAAUGAUUGACCCACUACAGUUUCUAAGCUGGUGGGUUGUAAGCUUAAAGCUUUUGGUGAUUGCUUCUGUCACUAGAUCCUGAGAGCCAACCUGAGAAAUGAGGCAAUACCAAGGAGCAUGAAGUUGAGAAGUAAAGAAAGACAGAUGAUUGAUGACAAAAUGGCACUAUCUGGACUCAAUUAUGCCUGAAACUGUACUUUAAGAAAUGUGUACUGACAUCUAUUUGACUGGCUUUUUUUUUUUUCCUUACAUGGUUUUAAUCACUUCUAGCAGAAAGAGUCCUAGUGCAAGUCCAUAAGGGAAAAAUUUCACUGUUUGCAAAAAAUAACAUUUCUAGAGCACCUGAAAUUUAGAAACCAUUUCCACAUAUAUGCUUCUGUUUAAUUCUCAUGAUAGAUCUGUAAAGCUGUUAAUUUUGUCCACCUUGUUAAAAGAAAAUUAAGCUCAAAGAUAAUCAUUUACCCAAGAACCCAGAACUAGUAUGUGGUGGGACUUGGUCUAAUCAUUUAUUCUUUUUGACAAAUAUUUAGGGAGUACCAACUCUGUGCCAGAUGCUUGCUGAUUGCUUGGACAGCAACAACAAACAAUAGAGAGAACUGACAUCAUGUUGCACUCACUCUAUGCCAGACACUGUUCUCAUCACUUGCCCCACAUUCACCUACUUAAACUUGACAAUAGCCCUUUGAGGCAGAUAGUAUUAUUACCGGCCUCCAUUUUUUUCACAAAGACAAUUUUUUAGAGCAGUUUUAGAUUCACAGAAAAAACAGAGAUUUCCCAUAUACCUUCCUGCCCCCUCACAUGCAUGGCCUCCCCCAUUAUCAAUAUCCCCCACUGCAGUGGUACCUUUGUCACAAUUGAUGAACCUACAUUGACACAUCAUUAUCAUCUCGAAUCCACAGUUUACAUUAGAGUUUACCUUGGUGUUAUACAAAUGCAUAAUGACACAUAUCCUUAGCACACCCAUUUUAGAGAUGUAGAAACUGAGGAAAGGUGAGAACAGAGGGCUUGUGAAUAUAAUGGUAAGGAGUAGAGCCCAGGUACGUACCCCAGAGCCAUCCAUCUAUCCUCCUAACCACUGCUCUAGUGGUCCUCAAAGUGCCAGACCCCCCUGGCGUCUUUGAGACCCUUCCAUGAGAUCCAUGAGGUCAAAGAAAUUUUUAUAAUAACAUUACAACAUUAUUUGCCUUUUUCACCAUGCUGACCAUUGCUGACCAUUUCACCAUGCUGACAUUUGCACUCAUGGUUCAGAAUAACAGUGGGUAAAAUCAACACAGUGGCACCAAACUUCACUAAUAGUCAUUGUGUUCACACACACAAAAACAUUCUUGUGUGUGUGAUAUGAUAAUGUGUGUGUGUGUAUAUGAUAGUGGUCUUGAGGAAAACCACUUGUGUGAUUGUUUGAAUUGGGAGAUGAACUAGCAACAUUUUUCAUGGAACACUAUUUUUAUUUGAAAGAAUAAGAGUCAAAUUAAGCUUACUCACACUUGGAUAUUUUAUAGAUAAUUUCUGAAAAAUGAAUAAAGUCAACUUAUCAAAAUUUGGGGAAUGCAGCGAAAGCAGUGCUUAGCAGGAAAUGUAUCACACUGAAUAAACAUAUGAGAAAGAAGAAAGAUUAAAUUCCACAAUCUAAGUGUCCACCUUAGAAAACUAGACAAAGAAGAGCAAAUUAAAUCCAAAGUAAGUAGAAGACAAGAAUAAAAAUUAGAGCAGAAAUCAAUGAAAUUGUAAACAGGAAACAAAAAAAGAAAAUAGGGCCAGCCCUGGUACCCGAGUGGUUAAGUUCAGCAUGAUCUGCUUUGGUGGCCUGGGUUCAGUGCCUGGGCACAAACCUACACCACUGGUCAGUGGCCAUGCUGUGAUGGCAUCCCGCAUACAAAAUAGAGGAAGAUCGGCCCAGAUAUUAGCUCAGGGAGAAUCUUCCUCGGCAAAAAGAGGAGGAUUGGGAAUGGAUGUUAGCUCAGGGUGUAUCUUCCUCAGAAAAAAAAAAAGAAGAAGAAGAAAAUAAAUGAAAUCAAAAGCCAGUUCUCUGAAAAGAUCAACAGAAUCAAUAAUCCUCUAGCCAGGCUAAGACAAAAGAAAGAGGAGAGACAAAUUACUAAUAUCAGAAAUGAAAGAGUGGACAUUACUACGGAUCCCAUGGACAUUAAAAGGAUCAUAAAGAUUAUAAACAACUCUGUGACACAAAUUUGAUAACCUAGAUGAAAGAAACCAAUUUCUUCAAAGACACAAUUUGACAAACCCACAAGAGAAGGAAAAACCAAUUUGAACAGGCUUAUAUCUGUUGAAGAAAUUGAAUCAAUAAUGAAUAACCUUCCAAAACAGAAAGCACCAGGCCCAGCUGGGUCACUGGCAAAUUCUACCAAACAUUUAAGGAAGAAAUUAUACCAAUUCUAGACAAUCUCUUUCAGAGGCUAGAAGCAGAGGGAACACUUCCUAACAUAUUCUAUGAGGCCAGCAUUACCCUAACACAGAAACCAGACAAAGACAUUACAAGAAAAUAAAACUACAGGUCAACGUCUCUCCUGAACAUAGAUGCAAAAAUCCUUAACAAAAUAUUAGAUCAGUGGUUGCAAGGGAUUGGUGGGGGAGGGCUGAAUAGGUCAAACCUAGAGGAUUUUCAGGGCAGUGAAGAUACUCUAAAUGAUGCCAUACUAACGGAUACCUGACGUUAUACAUUUGUCCAAACCCAUAGAACGUACAACACCAAGAGUGAGCCCUAAUGUAAUCUAUGGACCUUGGGUAGUUACGAUGUUCCAGGGUGGUUUCAUCAACUGGAACCCAGGUGCCACCCUGGCGAAGGAUGUUGACAGUGGGGGGCUGGGUGUAUGUGCGGGCAGGGAAUAUAUGUGUCUUCCCUGCAGUUUUACUAUGAUCCUAAAACUGCUCUAAAAAAAUAAGGUCUUAAUAAAAAGAAUUAAAAAAAAAUGAAGUGAUCCUGUCACUACAAGACAAGCAGCUGACAGUAUUUGUUGCCAUUCAUUUAAGCUUUCAAGAGAAAAUUAGGAGUUAGAAAAACUUGUAUAUGUCACUGUGAGCUUAAUAGCUUCCUAUUACUUAAAAAUUGUUCUCACGACAUUAGUGGAGAUAUGAACAAAUGAGACUUUGUGAUAUUCUAUCAUAAACUAUGUCAGUAUUUGAAAGAUAUGCAUAACGAGUUAAGCAGUAUCGAUUUAGAUGGUCAAUGAAUGAUAUUACAAAACAAUUCAGAGAUAAAAGAUGCUUUCAAAGGGCAAGACCAGUGAAUUAUAAUGUAACAGCUAAUGAGAAGUUCAUUGAUAUGGUUUCAAAUUCCAUUUUACAGCUAAACUUUAGGGAACUACCGCUCGUCAACCUUCGGUGUACUAGCAAGGAAGACAGUGUGCAAUAUUUUGAUUUUUUUAUGUUCUUCAACCAGAGUAGGACAUCACAACAAACUGAAUGCAGAAGCCUAUGUGGCAAUGGAGCUCUCUUUUACUAAGCCAGACAUUACAGAGAUUUGCAAAAAUAUAAAACGAGUCCUGAGACAAAAAAGUUUGAGAGCUAUGACACUGCCUAUUUCACUUCUCGAAAAUAAAACAGAUGUGCUUACAGUUCUGCCCUCAAGUAAUUUCUCUCUUAGAGGGAAGGGAAAGCUAAAAAACAGGUUAACAUACAAAUUUUAAAAAUACUUAUAGUUGGAGAAAAAUGCUUUGGAGUAAAUACAGCCAGGAUUAUGAUGAUGAUAACUAGAGAGAGCAUAAGAAGGGUGUUACUUUAACUGGGCUGGUCAGGGAGGGUCUCCUUGGAGAAGUGACAAUAAGCUGAGAUGUGAAGGAUGAGAAGAUGUCAGCAGUGCAAUAAGCUAAGCUCAGAGAACAGUGAUUUGGGCAUGGGGAAUAGCAGUGCAAAGACCCUGAGGCAGUAAAACGUUUGGACUAGAUUCCAGCAUUGCAUCAUUCCAAAGCCCAUGCUUCACUUGCCUUCUCAUAAACCACAACUGAUUUCUCUUCGGCCAGCUAUGCUCUGGCCCUUGGAACAGUCCAUCUGGAAAAUGGAGCGGAGAUUGUUUUGAUUCUUCCUAAACGACGGCUUCGUAUUCAGUUAGUUGCCAGGUUAAUCAGGCGCUUGCAGACAGCCUCCCCUUGCUCUAAGGAGUAGAGCUCUCAGGAGCAACGCCGGGCAGCAGUGCCAGGAAACCACUGUUGCAAGAAGUAGGAACAGGGUGGAAUUUAAUUUUACAGGGAGACGACUUAAAUGGGACCUAUAAAUUAUGCAGCUCUUUUUCUAUACCUUGGCCUCAGCCUGGAAUUUUUCAAAAUAAAUUAUUUGAGCCAAUUUCACUGUGGUUGCAAAUAUUACAUCGUGCUCUGUGGUCUCUGAAGCUUGUGUCUUUUGCUGACCUGGCAUUUUAAAAAGCUGCGGAGACCUCCUGAACACAGUGGUGAUUCCCAGUGAAAGUGUUCUUGCUUUUCCCACUCCCCAAGACACUUACGGAGGGCUUAGAAGAAGAAAGCUGAACAACACCUGUGGAGUAAGUGAAGGAAACAAGAAGCAUUAUUUCACUAAAUGAUGGGAUUUCCUUAUAUUUCCAAAAGUCAGAAAGUAAUAUAUCACCUCUCCUUCUGGAGUCAGACUUUAUGAAGCAGUGAUUGUGCAAACACGAAGGGAACACCCGAGUCACUAUCCCAGCGCACAUUUCUCUGUGGAGGCACUAGAGCGGACGCAUUGGAGACCAGGAAGAGGAAGCUGCACACUGGUCAGCAUGACCCCAAACAGAUGGGUGGCCAGGACAGGUCCCGCAACCAGCAAUUUGAUUUGUAGGCGACAUCUCUGAUAACAGCCUUGCAGUGAAAAGAGCCUGUGUUCACAGCUGGAUGUCCUGUAGGGGAACCACAAGGACUUUCUCCCCAUGAUCCAUGAUGAGACAAGUGACCUCAGGCUUCUCUUCCGUCCUUAUUCUCAGAGUUUCAGUUAUUACCCUUAUGCCAGUGACUCAAAUAUUUAUUUCCUUCCUUUUCAAUUGUAUACUGGAUGUUUCACCACAUAACCACACGUCCAAAAUCAAACCACAUAUCCAAAAUCACUGCCAUUGCCCUGCCCUCAAGGUUGAUGUCAUCUUCUCUCUUCCCAUUUUUGCACAUGGCUGCUUUUAUUUUCCAGUUUUUGGGAGUCAAAACCUGGAAGCUAUUGAUGGUUUGUAUACUUUAUUGCUCACAUUGAACCUGCCAAUACCACACUGUAAAUAUAUAUGUUUGGGGGAACCGACAUGUAAGCCUUGAUCCGGGAGAGCCUAGAGCUUGUAAGCUUCAAGGCAGCCGUCCUAACAUGAUCCGAGGAAGUCACCCGAAUCCAGCUGGGCUUGAUUCUCUGUUCCAGAACAGAAAGUUGUGAGAGAGCAACUCUGAGAUGAGACUCCGUGGAGUGAAAAUCACCAGAAUAGAAACACCGUAAAGAGGAGAUUCAUGAAUUUCAAUUUGCUAAACUCUCUGAAAUGGACUUGGAAUUUUAAUUUUUUCCUGAAGAGUUUGCUAUCUCAGUUAUCCCUUUAAAAUGUCUUUCAUUCUCCUUCCAACCACUACCUGCCAUCCUUACCACCACUAGAAUCUAAGUUUGUAUCAUCUCACACAUGUUUUAUUCGUAUACUCCUAGGAAUUUUCUCUGUUUGUAAUCUUUCCCCAUUCCAAGCCAUCCUGUAACUGUGACUGUCCAUGGCUAUCUAUUGCUUAGAAAUCUACGAAGUCUCCCUUCUUCUACUGUAUCAACUCCAAGGCCCUGGAUGAACUGAGUAACUGUUAGUUAAGGCAGCUCCGGUUUUAAUGUCUUCUCAAAGUGAGUCCUUCAACUUGAUCAGCUGUGGAAUCCCACAGUAUGGACACAAUUAUUCCUGCUGUUACAGCUUUGAGCAAGCUUUUCCUCCUUUGGAGAAUGUCUUCCUCACUUCUCUCCUCACUUCUUUGUAUUUUCUCUAACUUUUUUGUAUUUUUAUGAAAAGCCAAGAAUCAUUAUGAAAAAAUCAGUCUAUGAAAGAGAGAGAUAAGGCACCUAAACUAUUAUAAAGAUGGAUACCCAGUUAUAGUGUAGAGGAAUUUGUUUUAGUGCAAUAGUGGUUGAGCUGCUCAUAUUAUCCGUUUAUUCAAUGUUUUCCUCCAGGAACUUGUGCCAGAGUCUUGGGCAGAAGCAGUGGUUAACAGUAAAAGAAAUUCUGCUAAAAUUUUGAUUGAGACCUUGAAUGCUAUGCCCUCUAGUCUAUAGAGGACCUGGGAGAAUAAAGAAUAAACUUAAGAAAGGAUGACUGGAAUAUUGUGGAUGCACACAGUAGGAGGCAGAAAGCUGACGAGUCACAUCAGGAAGGGAGGAGAAGCCAAGAAAACAACAGAUGUGACCAACAUCCUGACUCGCACUGUCUGAGUGAAGUGAAAUGGCUGGCACCGGGACGCGGCAGGGGAAAUUGCUACAUUCCCUGCAUGCACUACACUUGCCUGAGGAAAUGGCAAAAAUUCCAAUGUUAGCUGAGAGGAGUGAAUUCACAAGCCCCAAGUUACUCUCUGGGGACUCCAUAAACUAGCUGGGAAGGAACAAAAUUCAAAGAGACUAAAGUUCCCAUGAUUCUCAUAAUUGUGUAGUGAGAAUAGAAUUAGAGAAAUUCAGCUUCGCUACUGUGUUUGUGAAUUGAUUUAACCCAGAAGCUAAUGCAGCGUAGGAAACCCAAGUGUGAUCUUCACUCUGGGUGACUGCAUGUCCCAAUUGCCGGGGGUUUCCCUACUGUGUUUGCGCCUCCUGUAACUCAGAAAAUGUCCCCAUAUGAAAGAAAAAUUAUAAUUUUUCACCCAAUUUUUCCUUCCAUCCUACAAUAGUCACAUUUUGAAAUGCAAGAUGUUCCACUCUGAUCACACUAAAGACCCCAAAUUCACAGGUCCAGUGAGCUUCAACUUCAGGGCUCUUGUCUUAACACUGGGAAGAAACUUAUGGAGAUGGGUGCUGAUUCUUGGGCUGAUAGGACUUUUCUUUUCAACUUCUCAAUAGAUGCAAAGUUCAGAAUCUCUUCUGCUCUUGUCCUACUUUCAAAGUGAUUUUUUCUAUUCUCACCUUUUGUUUUCUUCUCCUUUUCACCUUCAAAGCCAGUGAGGUGACAUCGUUGGGGCGGUAAACAAUCAUGAUCGCCACUAGUGUCCCUUACGUUGUUACAGCAGAAGUUUGCUAAACUCAUUCCCCUUUGUUACGCCAUUAGAACACCGCAACAAUCUUGCAGCUAAGAAGGGUUUAUCCACCAUUUUACAGAUGAGGAAGUCAUGCUCCGGGAUAGCACGGGAGUUCUCAAGUUGUUCCUCUCAAAGAAGCAGUGUGGGGAAUCUGAGGUGAGGCCUCACAAUUUUAGUCCUGAUUUCUUUCCACUAUAUAAGGUUGCCUGGAAAGUUUCCCCACGGUUUCCACCAUUCUGAGCACUUGGAGGGGAAACUUCUGUAAAUUCUGCAUGUUUCAUCUUGUCACACACAAGUCGUCACUUAGUUCUCAGGAACAGCAAGCCUUGUAAGGGCCCAGUGACGAGCUCAAAAAUUACUUUUCUAGUCUAUAGUUCAACAAUUUUUUAAGUUACUUAGUAUUUUCAGGUCUAUCUUCAGUCUACUACGAAUUACUCUGCGUCUGUUCCACACACCUUCAAGGUGCAGGAGGUAUAUAUAUACGUGUGUGUGUGCUAUAUAUGUAUAAAGAAGUAGUACACUGGAGGUAUGUCUCCUUGCUGGUGUCUGCCAAGCAGCCUUAUACAAACAUUGUGUGGUUUACAUCGGCCAGAGUUUUUGAGCUCCAUGGAUAAACAAGCAUCUCCAACAGUGCCACACUUGAGAAGACACGGUGUACAGCGUGAGAAGAUGAGCUUUGUCAGGAUUUCACCAAGUACUUCUUGGUUUCUCUUAAGUAUAUCCUCAACUCCUAUUAAUAUUAAUGGAUAUUCCACAUGUUUUAGGAGAAAAAAAAAGUAUAUUCUUUGGCAUAGGAGAAACAUAAGAGACUGAACUCCUGAGAAAUUCUGAUGGCAAGGAAUAAAAGUGGAGCACAGUUUCAAGUUGAGUUGUUCUGGGCAAAAUGUCCUAGUAGGUUUCUGGGACAAUUUUAUUUCUUGGACAACAGGGACAAGGAAAUGAAGACCUCACUCUCCUCACUUCAUUGCACGUGAUACUUGAUGACCCCGGUAAGGCUCCUUUCUUACGUCAUGUAAUUGUAUUCAUUUUAUUAGUGUACCCGCCUUCAUCCCCGCCACAGUCGUUUCCCUACCACCCCCACCUUUAAGGUGAAUCCAUUCUAAAGUUUCAAUGUGGUCUUAGAUAUGUAUGUAUCCCUGAACAAAAUAUAGCAUUAUUUUAGGCGUAUAUGUUUUAGACAAAAAUGAUUGGCUUCUAGGUCUUGUUUCAAAUCUCUCUUCUUUUAAAACUCGAGACUUUUUUAUUGCAGUAA